GACGAACGCUGGCGGCGUGCUUAACACAUGCAAGUCGAACGGAAAGGCCCUGCUUUUGUGGGGUGCUCGAGUGGCGAACGGGUGAGUAACACGUGAGUAACCUGCCCCUGACUUUGGGAUAACUUCAGGAAACUGGGGCUAAUACCGGAUAGGAGCUCCUGCUGCAUGGUGGGGGUUGGUAAGUUUCGGCGGUUGGGGAUGGACUCGCGGCUUAUCAGCUUGUUGGUGGGGUAGUGGCUUACCAAGGCUUUGACGGGUAGCCGGCCUGAGAGGGUGACCGGCCACAUUGGGACUGAGAGACGGCCCAGACGCCUACGGGAGGCAGCAGUGGGGAAUAUUGCACAAUGGGCGGAAGCCUGAUGCAGCAACGCCGCGUGCGGGAUGACGGCCUUCGGGUUGUAAACCGCUUUCGCCUGUGACGAAGCGUGAGUGACGGUAAUGGGUAAAGAAGCACCGGCUAACUACGUG
rnacentral:rRNA from 1 species